UUUUCUUUUUCAUUCUUAAAGAGGGCUGGUUGAAAAGAAGAUUGCUGCCUGCGUGAAUAUCAUACCUGGGAUUACUUCAGUUUACACUUGGGAAGAUAAAGUAGAAGAAGACGCUGAAGUUUUAAUGAUGAUAAAAACAAGAACAAACAGACUGGGGGACCUCACCGAUUACGU